UACGGGGGGGCAAGCGUUGUUCGGAAUUACUGGGCGUAAAGGGCUCGUAGGCGGCCAACUAAGUCAGACGUGAAAUCCCUAGGCUCAACCUAGGAACUGCGUCUGAUACUGGAUGGCUUGAAUCCGGGAGAGGGAUGCAGAAUUCCAGGUGUAGCGGUGAAAUGCGUAGAUAUCUGGAGGAAUACCGGUGGCGAAGGCGGCAUCCUGGACCGGCAUUGACGCUGAGGAGCGAAAGCUAGGGAGCAACGGG
rnacentral:rRNA from 1 species